rnacentral:hammerhead_ribozyme from 1 species
AUCCAGCUGACGAGUCAGAAUAGGACGAGACGCGAGUCCUGGAU